CCGCCGCCUCCCGCCGCCCGUGUUCGGGAGCUCAUGCAGACCCGGCCUGGGCUGGGCCUUCACGCUGUUAAGUCGCAGAGCCCAGGGGGGUUGACGUUAUGUUCCUAUUCGGAGGUCGGGAUGUGCUCACACGCUGGGACAGCUGCAGCACGGCCGGUGUAAUUUCCUAUAACGACAAGGUCAGGGAACGCAGAGGCCUCGAGCGCAGAGCAGCAGGACGCCUUCAAGCAGCGCAGGAUCCGGUUGGAAGCCGGAUGGAGGGAAAGGGCUCUGAAAGAGCCGUUCUGGGGCAAUUGUUGACAUUUGACUAUAGGCUUAAUGAAUUCGCAUCGGAAUCAACUUUCCUGAUGUUUAUCGUUGUCCUGGGGUUACAGAUCCCGUUCUCCGGGUAUCCUACAUGCUGAAGAAGUGGGGGUCAAGGGCAGGGUGCCUGUAAUUUACUCUCAAGUGAGCCAGAAAAAAAAAAUCUACUUAAACAAAAAAGUACGUAUGUGUGUAUAUAUAUGGACAGAGAGAGAGAAUGAGUGAUGAAACACAUGUGACAAAAUACUAACAACUGGUGAAGCUAGAUGAAGAUAUUUACAGAACGAUAUUCUCUGUACUGUACCUGCCACUUUGCUGGACAUUUGAAAUUCUUUCAAAGUUUACUUUUUGGAAAAAAAAUAAAGAUGAGGACCCCGAGGUUCAAAACUCUAUGGAGAGCAAGGUUGGUCCAACGUUAGGGACCCUACCCUACUCAGGACCCUCCAGAAGUUUCUAGCUAGGUAACGGCUCUGGUGGAAUUCGCAAAGGGGAACUGAAUGCCUCUCUCUGACCAAGCAGAACAGCUAAGGCUCACUGCAGGCUUCCGCUGUGCCAGCCCCUGCCAGCCUCUUACGUAUACGCAACUGAUUUUGCUCUCACCACAUCCCCUUGAGCCAACGCCCGUCCUUCUCAUUUUGUCAGAGGGGGAAGUAAAAGCUGAGAGGGGGCCAAGGGUCCACACACGGUUCUCCAGCUGCAGCCCUGGAAAUGAAACUGAUAGAAGACAAAUCAACAAGAGAAAAAGAAACAGAUUUAUUAACACGCAGUACGCACACACGGGAGAAACUCAGUGAUGAGCAACUCAAAGGAGUGGCUGGAACUGGGGCUCACACAGCGUCUCCCCGAAGAAAGAAAUUUGAAGAGAAGUGUCAAGACUAAGGAAAAGGAGGUUAGGCUUUUAGGGGCAGCGGGCUGUGGGAAGGAAAAUACAUGGGGGAGACUAAUGGAAGAUAAGGAUUCACUUGAUAAGUCUUGUUAUGCUGACGGCUCUGGGCCAUCUCUGGGCUGAGGACUCUGCAGUUGUCUCAGGUGACUAAGUCUGAGGCUGCUUUUAGGCAAAUGAGGGGGAAGACAGAGAGUGGGGUUUUUUGGCAUUUACUGAUUCUUAAUUGUCUCCAGUUCCAAAUAACCCUUACAUGCUGAGUGGCAUAUUUGGGGGUGGCGUAUUCUGACCUCCUGCAGGACCGUUUUACGUUCCCACCAGCGGUAGGUGAGAGUUCUUUCUGCUCCGCAUUCCAACAGUACGGAUAGUCAGUCUUUUUCAUUUGUACCAUGCGAAUAGGUGUGCAGUGGUAUCUCACUGUGGUUUUCAUUUGCGUUCCCCUGAUGACCUGUGAGGUUGAACAUCUUGUCACGUGCUUAGUUGGCAUCUGUUUAUCUUUGGUGAAUUGUCC
rnacentral:lncRNA from 1 species